rnacentral:misc_RNA from 1 species
AACGCACCUUGCACCCUGUGGUAUUCCGCAGGGUAUGCCCGUUUGAGUAUCAUUAAAUCUUCAACCUCAAAACCUUUGUGUUUUCGAGGCUUGGUCUUGAGGGUUCUGCAGGCUUUUUUUAAAGUCAGCUCCCUUUAAAUUCAUUAGCGAGACUUCCCUUUGUUUGAGCCGGUCUCAUUGGCAUGAUAGUUAUCUGUGUCAACGUCGGUUCUCGUUGGGCUUGCUUCUAAUCGUCUUCGGACAACAGGAUUUUGGGUGCAUAUAUAUGCGCACGAUUUCCAAACCUUUUUGAUCUCAAAUCGGGUAGGACUACCCGCUGAACUUAA